rnacentral:misc_RNA from 1 species
UCAAGCGUCAGGAUCGAUCC